GAAAUGAGACCAGCUGGGUUCAGAGGAAGACAAAUCAUGGACCAAAGUGACAGUGGGUUUAUAAGCGUAGGGUCAAAAGUUUUACCUGUGUCAACGGCAGAGGAAACAGGCUAUACAAACACCAUCGAUAAGGGUGUCGAAUUUGUCAAUGGAGACGACAAAGAAAUGUUCCCUAAAGGGCAUUGCGUGUCCCUGGAAGGUGACGGAGUCCAAGAGGAAGACAGCUCAACGGCUUGAAAAACUUGUACACUCUUAACAAGUUCAAGAGCCAAAUCUAUUUACUCUAGAAAUUGGAUUUUAACGUCACAUUACACAUGCAAAAGAUGUAUUAUGUGAUGCAUCAAGUAGA